GACGAACGCUGGCGGCGUGCUUAACACAUGCGAGUCGAACGGAAAGGCCCUGCUUUUGUGGGGUGCUCGAGUGGCGAACGGGUGAGUAACACGUGAGUAACCUGCCCUUGACUUUGGGAUAACUUCAGGAAACUGGGGCUAAUACCGGAUAGGAGCUCCUGCUGCAUGGUGGGGGUUGGAAAGUUUCGGCGGUUGGGGAUGGACUCGCGGCUUAUCAGCUUGUUGGUGGGGUAGUGGCUUACCAAGGCUUUGACGGGUAGCCGGCCUGAGAGGGUGACCGGCCACAUUGGGACUGAGAUACGGCCCAGACUGCUACGGGAGGCAGCAGUGGGGAAUAUUGCACAAUGGGCGGAGGCCUGAUGCAGCAACGCCGCGUGCGGGAUGACGGCCUUCGGGUUGUAAAACGCUUUCGCCUGUGACGAAGCGUGAGUGACGGUAAUGGGUAAAGAAGCACCGGCUAACUACGUG
rnacentral:rRNA from 1 species